rnacentral:tRNA from 1 species
CGGGGUGUUGCGCAGCCGGUAGCGCGCCAGCUUUGGGAGCUGGAGGCCGUGAGUUCGAGUCUCACCACUCCGACCA